rnacentral:lncRNA from 1 species
GCGAUCGACUGCAACGCGAGCAGCGAAGACGAGUCAGCGAUAAGAGUCCGCCGAGCCGUACUACGAUGCAUAGCGUCCGAAUGCAUCGUAGACGUUGGCUCAGAGGUUAGAGCACAGGCUUCUGGCUCUCGGGUCCGCGAGUUCGAGUCCCGUCGUCUACUUUUUCGCUUUCGACUCUGUCUCCUCCAUCCAUUUCACAAACAUUUACACAUACACAUACAUUUGGUCGGUGGCUCUCGGAGUUUAUUCUCGUUGGGGUUUCUCUAUAGGCAUUGUUAAUGCAAGUGCAAAAACGGGCGAGACAGAGAGAGAGAGAGAAUACGAAAGGCGAAAGUCGAGAUGAGUAGCAGGAGGAAGGAGGGUUAUGAGGAAGUAACAAAGGAAGAGAGUGAUUCAGAAAAGAAAAUGGACGUGUAAUGUGAACGAAGAGAAGCGCAGAGAGAGAAGAAGCGGAUAAGAAUUAAGCGUUAGCGAAACCGAAAAUCUUGAACUAUCGUGCAACUUGGAAGAAAAUCUCAACAUAGUACAAUAGAAGCCGUAAAUCCAUCAUAAAAUCAAAAGAAAGUCGGCGUUCAGAAUUUUCCCACGACAUAUAGAAAUCAGGCACAAUCGUCACUGUAUGCAUAGAUAGGCGCAGUAAACAUGCGGUGGCAGGGAUAACAGAGAUAGGAAGAAGAAAUGCCGCAUAGAAAAGGAGGAGCAGUAAUACUCCGAAAAGCGAGAGCAGAGAGGUUCGUGGCGCGGAAAAGUGGAAAGAAAAUUCGAGAGGACUAUACCUGCGUCUAACGCCCAUAGACCAGAGGUGCGUGCAUAGUUCCCUGUCCCCCUACUUCUGCUUCUCGCCACGGCUGCCCCCACGUAUACGAAGGUAAAAAUCUCUCCGCUCUCGCCAUCGAGCCAACGAACACAAGCCCAGUAGCAUAGCGCGCAUUGCGCAGGCGUGUAGAGGAACAUCUGCUCAUUUAUAUUUUUGGGUGGUGCACGUUCGAGGCUGCGGGCGCGUGCAGCAGACCUCUUCUGCGCUUCGAUUUUCGACAUUUCCGAGCGAGCUCUCCACGGCUUCAGACCUGCUUGAAGAUACCAUUCUACGAAAACCAGGCUCAACAUAUGAACCAACAUGAAUUAUUACCCUCGGAAGAAGUACUUUUUCGAAAACUUUUACUACAACAAGCUGAAGCGAGAGAAGAGGAAACAUCUGAGAAGAAGAAACGACAUCCUGAAUUCGACGGGCGAAGAUAUCGGAGAGUUCGCUCCACCCGAGAGAUACAGACACGUUAAAAGAAUUAGCUAUACAGACUGGUUGCUAAGACGAACGGAGAGACAAUGCAACAGAAUAUGCAACGAUUCCUUUAACGAAGGCAAUUUCAGUGAAAGUGGUAGUGACAUUUUUAAUUUGAAUAAAAUCAUGCGCUACGAUUGUGGCGAAUACGCUAUAAAUGGCAUUCGUAUGUCUUACGAGUAUAUUAUGGACACUCUUUCCAUCUACAUUGGAUACAUUUUAAUUUAUACCAUAACUUUGUCAGAGCAUGAAGAUGCCAACAUUCCGUGGCAAGAGAUUCAAUGGGAUUGAUCGGAUAUGAGGCCCGUUUUUUACUGCGUUUAAUCGAUUAAAUUGCACAUACUCUCAAAUUUCUCUCUCAAUCGAGUCAGAAUAGUCAGAUUUUUAAGGAAUUACUGAAACAAUUGUUGCGUGAAAGCGAAAUAGACUGUUGCAGCAUAAACUGUGUUCAAAAUAUUUUAUUACGGCCGCUGACGCUGCAUAGGUCGGUUAGUCAGUUCAGUUGGCGUGCAUCAGCUGCUCGCGCAUGCGCACUGAUUCAUUUUAUGCCGAGCCCGUAUGCCUGUGUGUAUAUACAUAUACCUAGCCAGAUUUCUAGAUGAAUAGCCCCGAUGGAAUAAAAUUAAGCCCUAAAAUUGAGCGUUUUCAUAGCUAGCUAGAAACUAGACCAAAUUUAUGCGAGAUCAUUGAUGUGCAAAAUUUUUUCUUGUAUUUUUAUAUAAACAAAUCUUUUUUACUAAUGAACGACUGAUAAACGUGCAAUUUUACUUUUAUAUUUUUAGUCUCUUGAUGAUUUAAUCUCAAAUAAAAAAAAUAAAAAAAAAAAAAC